rnacentral:rRNA from 1 species
CUACGGGGUGCACCAGUGAGGAAUAUUGCACAAUGGGGGGAACCCUGAUGCAGCAACGCCGCGUGGAGGAUGACGCAUUUCGGUGUGUAAACUCCUUUUAUAUGUCAAGAAAAUGACGGUAGCAUAUGAAUAAGCACCGGCUAACUCCGUGCCAGCAGCCGCGGUAAUACGGAGGGUGCAAGCGUUACUCGGAAUCACUGGGCGUUAAGGACGCGUAGGGGGGUUGGAAAGUCAGGUGUGAAAUCCUACAGCUUAACUGUAGAACUGCACUUGAAACUUCUAAUCUAGAGUAUGGGAGGGGGAGAUGGAAUUAGUGGUGUAGGGGUAAAAUCCGUAGAUAUCACUAGGAAUACCUAAAGCGAAGGCGAUCUCCUGGAACAUUACUGACGCUAAGGCGUGAAAGCGUGGGGAGCAAACAGGAUUAGAUACCCCCGUAGUC